GCUUACAGUGCUGUUCAAUAAUGCCAAUUAACUUUAAGAAAAUAUCCGUGUCAAAGUUAGUCGGCGCGUCCUGUAAGAUUGCUACUAGGCGUUCAAUACCGGCCCCAGUAUCGAUGUUCUUCUGCGCUAACUCACUGUAGUUACCAUUGCCAUCAUUGUUAAACUGACUAAAGACAAUGUUCCACACUUCCACAUAACGGUCGUUUUCAAUGUCCUCAAAGAACAGUUUUUCACCAACCUUGUGCGGAUCAAACCGCUCCCCGCGGUCAUAGUAAAUUUCCGUACACGGUCCACAUGGUCCUAAACCUAAGUCCCAGAAGUUGCGGUCGCGGUCACACUUAAUAAUCCGACUUGCAGGAAUACCGUGUUUAAGUCAGGUGUUAAAGGUCAAUUCAUCAUCUUGGUACACUGUAAUGUAAAAGCGCUUCGGAUCCAAGUGGUAAUGAUUGACUAAAAGAUCAUUGGCAAAGCCAAUGGCCUCUUCCUUAAAGUAAUCACCAAUCGAGAAGUUACCCAACAUCUCAAACAGCGUUUGGUGUCGCGAUGUAAAACCGACGUUUUCAAUGUCAUUAACCCGUAGACAAAUCUGGGCGUUGGCUAACCGUUUACUCGGUGGUGUUUUCUUAGCACUAAAGUAGUCCUUUAAGGUCGCUACCCCGGAGUUAAUCCACAGCAGUGAAGGAUCAUUUACGGGAAUUAACGAUUUGGAAGGGAGUGCUAAGUGGCCCUUGGCAGUAAAGUAAUCUAAUCAGGUUUGUCUAACCUUAUCAGUUGUUCAUUUCAUUGGUUUAAUUGUAAAUGUUUGCCUUAAACCAAGGAUGACCACACAACAAGCUUACACUUCAAACUUCUUGUUGGCAA
rnacentral:sRNA from 1 species